UUUGUCCAAACGCAUCUCCAGUUUACUUGCUCUUAUCAGUGCUGGCUCGCAAAAGAAUUCCAUGGGGUCUAAAGAGACCACCUUUUUGGAGCUGCAACAUUUUAGGAAGAAAAAAAGUUUAAAACUUGAACGGGUUUACUAACAGCCUCCCUGCAGCAGUGGUAGCUCCAGCAAUGUCUUGCAUGAGAGUUUCAGGGGGAGUAUAAGAAGACCCCCAUGUGCAUGCUACAAAGCAUUUCUUACUGCAAACAACUUCAUGCUGCCAAACGUGGUGUCAUCGGUCACUGGAGCUGCAGCUUCGCCUACAGGUUCAUUUUUUUAAAAACACUCCAAGGGUUAAAGAUCACCUCGACAAACAGGGGUCAAUCAGAAUCAGCGCUUUAAGGAAAGUAAAAAGAGAAUUAUGAUUCGUGUCGCUUGCAAUGCAGGCGAUUAAAAGAAACCAGCGAUCUCUCGCUACAUUGGCGAAUCGUAGAUACGGAUUUCUUUUCGAUUCUUAUAAUUGGAUAAAGUUAAGUUAAUUUGCUUCCGUGAUCCGUGACUCCCGCUGUGACCAGGGGGACGAUAAAAUCCCUUUGAAACAAGCAAGGAAGCUCGCAGAUUGAAUUCUCCCUUCUAAUGGAACUGAUUAGGAUUUAGACAAUAAUCCCCCUUUUUUUUUUGCUGAGAAUCCCAUAUUGAAAAGAAGGAGCAGCGGAGCGCCAUCCCAAAUCCACUCCAUAUUCCUACAAAUCUGAAUAAUUUAUCACUCCGCGUUCGGAUUAACAUUCAUUAUCUGUCUCCGGGAUUCUUAUUUUAUGGUUUUUCCUCUUAAAAUGUUUCUCCCACACGGAUCAGAACCGAACAUCUAUAAUUCUUCUAAAAAAAAAUAUUAAUAUUAAACGUACUUAAAGUAAAUAAAAUAAAUGUAUAUUUAUGGUCUGGAUAUGGGUGAUAAUUACAAUGUUUAAAAAAAUGGAGAAAAUAAAUACGAGAUGCACCUGCCCCACAGAGCUUACAAUCUAAAUGGUUGCAUUGUUUGUCCCGCCAUUUUAUGUUUGAUUGCACAGUACAGAGUAUCUUCAGUUCUUUAUUAAAAUCUUCGGGUGCAUUUUUUAUAUUUGGUGAUGGGAAUUCCAAUUCUAGUCCCCAAAGAAUCGUCCUGAAUGCGGAGUCUUAGAGGAAGGGGUAACGAGGGGUUAAAAAGGUUGGCUGAAGGAGUUGGGACAGGAAGGUGUGGAGUCUUUAGUUGAUGCUGAUAACUUUAAUUGGACGAAUGGACAAAAAGAUGUCAAGUUACGCAGGCUUUUGGGUCCUCAGAAGUCUCUCUUUCAGAUGGAAGGAAAUGC